CCAAUAGCGUAUAUUAAGGUUGCUGCGGUUAAAAAGCUCGUAGUUGAAUUUCGGGAUUGAUGCAUCGGUCGUGCCUUAAGGGGUAUGAACUGGUGUGGUCAAUUUCUUACCUUCUGGUGAAUUGUGAUGUCCUCCUUAAUUGGGUGUUUCAAUGAACUAGGAAUUUUUACUUUGAAAAAAUUAGAGUGUUUAAAGCAGGCAUUAUUUGCUUGAAUACAUUAGCAUGGAAUAAUAAAAUAGGACAAUGAUUCUAUUUUGUUGGUUUCUAGGAUCACUGUAAUGAUUAAUAGGGAUAGUUGGGGGCAUUAGUAUUCAAUUGUCAGAGGUGAAAUUCUUGGAUUAAUUGAAGACUAACUACUGCGAAAGCAUUUGCCAAGGAUAUUUUCAUUAAUCAAGAACGAAAGUUAGGGGAUCGAAGACGAUUAGGUACGUCGUAGUCUUAACCAUAAACUAUGCCGACUAGGAAUCAGACAACGUUAAAUUUUUAAUGACUUGUUUGGCACCUUACG
rnacentral:rRNA from 1 species